rnacentral:lncRNA from 1 species
GGCAUUAAGGGAAGGCUUCUCAGUCAUUCAGGCACGUAUCUUUGGCACCCCUGCCAUAAAUGAAACUUCUUCCAACAUGUUGACUUCUAUUCUAAUAGGCUGACUUUCAAUGCAAGAAUAUUUGAUUGAAGUAAGUAAGCUAAUAAUAAAAAAGUGCUUUCAUAAGUAUACUGUUAGCAAGAAGACUGGGGCCCCUUCCCCUGCAGUAAAGGUAAUUGAAUUUCCUACUAGCUCAGUCAAGAGAAAACCGGAGUUCGGGGCCUCUCGGCUCUCAUGAUCCGAUCGGUCUAAAAGGGCACGGCUCGGGACUGACUUGUCUCCUAUAUCUUGUAGGAUGAUUAGGUCAGCUAGGCAUAGUGUUGCUUGGGCUGCUGUCUUUAAGCAUUUGGGUUUGAAGGAUUUUAGGGCGUCUUUGAGGGUUGUAGGUGCGGGUUACCGCACCUUCUCUCGAGAUGCUCUUGCCUUCUCUCCUAGUGUUUCUAGGCACUGGUUCAGGCAUGCCUUAGUUAUGUAUGCUCCUGGUGGUCCCCAUCCUUUACCUUUCUCGUUGUGGUUGGCAUUUCCCACUUUCGUCGGUGUGAACUGCUACCAUAUAGGGAUGGUAAGGUCAAAGUGAAGAUCCGCUUGUCGUCCUGAUUGGCGCUAUAUUGAGCGUUCGCUCGACAUUUAUAGAGUCUCGCUCCGGGGGAAGCAUAGGUUCUUUAGAUUUAAAGAAUCAAUGCAGCAUGCGUAGAAAAGUCCUUGACUAUACAGGGCGCUCCUGCGCACCCAGCCAGCGGAAAAAGGCUAGCGCGCCUGGAAGGGACGACGCUGGAUCGCGAGUCAGUCUCAGAAAAAAGCUAUCGCUAGUUCCCUAGACUUGUGUAAUAGGCUUUAUCCGUUGGUAGGCAAUUCUUAUAGCAAGCAUUGGCUUGGCGCGAUCCUUUUUUAUUCUUGUUUAGGCGUAGGCGCUACCCUUUCUUUCUACCAUUUAUUUGGCUUAAGCGUGGGUAUCGUGGGAUGUCCCAGUCAUAAAGCAUUAAUUGGAGGCCGGGGCAGAAGCAGAAGGAAGGACUGGAAAGCAAAGCCUACUUUCGAAAGACUUUUUCUAUUAUAAAAUGAGCAACGUACGAUAAGCAAGGGUCCUCGGUCAGAAAGAAGUACUCGUUGAAUGGGAGUGGUACAGACUUAUACCGAUCUAUCAUCACACCAGCAGGCUUUCUCUCAUCAAGAAAAUAGGUAGCCCUUUACUAAUCUGUGGAUGAAUUCCGUUAAGCAAUUUUCCUCACUCGUCUAAAGGCAGUUUGCGGUCAAUAGCCAACCAAAGCCCAAGCCCGAAGAAGGGCUGCUUACUCAAUAGGGCGUAAAAAAGACUUUGAGCUUCUUUCUGAUCACACGAUAUUCUUUUACAUUACAAGUUAGGGAUGAGUUCCUUUACCAGGUGACCCCCUCGAAGAAACGACGAACUAUAUCUCUAGUAGGAUCAGAUCAAAUAAAGCACCGGCAUUCUCAAGAUUAGUAAACCGAUUGACUUAUUCCAUCGAAACUUCCACUGCAGAAAAGACUGAACCAAAGGCACUUCUUCCCCCGACCUUUCGAUAGUCAACCAAAUAGGGAAGCUUCGGUAAUAAGGCAAGCCCGUCUAGUAGCCAGUCUUGUCAGUGAGUGGGCCUAUACGAGUGAGAGACGGUCUGAUGUCUGAGAGUCUGAAGUCCGAGAGACGUUACCGGACCGGUUUAGGAAGGAGAAGUCACUAAGGAAGCCGUCACCACAAGAGCCAGCAGCCAUUCAAACGUAUGCGCUAACAGCAAGUGGAUUCCCGUCUGUUGCAAGGAGAUUCCCAUCUAUUAAUGAGCUUUCUCAAUUGGAAAUAUAGUCUAGUAAGAAAGCAAUUCCUCCUCCGACUCCGAUUGACGAGAAAGAGUCCUAUGAGCAUGAGAAAGUGAAGUAAGUAGUUCCGCUAAGUAGAUGCCCAGCCCGAGGUGAGAGCCCGGCCAGGCAUGAGAAAAAGCCUUAUCCUUUCUUCCCCUGUAGCUCUGUGACUUCCAUUCCCGAAAGUGAGGUGCGAAGCGGAAGCGAACCCAGCUGUUGCAGUUACGGUGCACAGUUCUUAUUGGGAAGCGGAUGUAACGACUGUCAGCGAGCCGAGCCAUAGGUGAUUGUUGAUGGCAAGUUUCAGUAGUCUGCCCUGUAUAGUGGUCCUAGCCAGCUAAUGUAAUCUAAUCCUCUGAUCAUGGAAAAUAGUCCAAAAAGACGGGCUUUCGUCAAGGCUUUCUUCUUAGUUUGAUGGGCGCUUGCCCGAAAUAGGGUAUCUUACGGGAAAAGCUGAUAUGAUAAAGGGCGGAAGUGGUCCUAUCUCCUAUGUGGGUGGGCCAGAGGCUUCGGUUUGAAUGUUGUUCUCCUUCAUUUCAAGCUUAGGAAUAGUGGGUACAUCAGGGGAUACAAAAGUAGGAAAUGCUUAUGCUCGGAAUACGGCUUGAUUACCAUAAUCAGUCCAGGUCCAGCUACUACGGCUUCCUUUUCCGCUUGUAGAUUCUGACCUCGAUUUACAAUCCCCAUCCUGCCUCAUGCUAGUCCUUUCUUUCAGAUGCGCUUGUUCUUAUCGUAAAGUCUGCCGGCAAAAGGCUGACUCCGCUACUUAUUAAGUUAAGGCCUAUCUGCCUGCAUUUGUUGCCUAGUUUCCUUGGUCACUCACCUUGAAGUAGGUCCCUCUCAGUAAGGCUUCCUUCGAGAUGGGCUUCUCCCUUAGUUCCUGAUCAUGAGAGAGAAGAACCAACCGUAGAAUCUAAGAGUUCUUGUUUGAGUUCUUGGUUCGAGUGAGGGUUCCCAGUUCAAGUGCCAGCGCUUACUCUAUUGAAGAAAGGACUGACUGAACUGAAACUGAAGGAGAAAGUGUCACUUACCUGCCUGCAGCGGGGAGCGACUGAUCAGAUCUCCGAUCUUCUAGAGGCAUCAAGUCAGAAUAGAGAGGUCCAUCCGCAAAAAGACUUUACAAAAUGGUACCAUUAAGCCAAACGACGGGGUCCAGAGCUAUAGAAGGAGUGUCACUUGGAGUCGGUUACAGACAAGAGGGAAAGGGAAAGACGAACUUCUAAGUCAGUUAAAAGAGCAUUCUUUUUCGCCGGGCCUUAGCAAAGCGAAGAUUCAACUCCCUCUUCUUCGACGAUCGCUACUCGCUUUAGUUGCAUUAGCAAGGGUUCGCCGACUACUGCUCAUUCGUAGCUCACACUAGACUCUCGCGGAAAAUGAGUAGAACUUGAGGGCUCAGACUAUUCAUUCACAGAUAAGUUCACCUAAGAAGGGGCGAACGCUACUUAGAAGUGACGGUCAAAGUUUGGGUGCCAAAGAAGGUUUCCUAGGCAGGGUAGAAAGCCGUAUAGCCUUAGUCGCUAUGGAGUUUUAUUGCUUGCCCUGGGCCUCUGGCGUAAAAGGAUUCGCACCUUUGCUAGCCCGGUCCCAAUGAACCGAUCAAUGUCUGCCACGUCUGUUUCUCAGACUACAGCUGGUGAACCGAGAACUCCUUCUUAUAAGGUAUAAGCUUCUUCGAGAGGAG